CGGUCGCGUAACACGUAGGCAACCUGCCCUGAAGAGGGGGAUAGCCCACCGAAAGGUGGAUUAAUACCGCAUGUGAAUAUUUUCUCGCAUGAGUUAAUAUUUAAAGCAGCAAUGCGCUUCAGGAUGGGCUUGCGGCCUAUCAGCUAGUUGGUGGGGUAACGGCUUACCAAGGCGACGACAGGUAGCUGGUCUGAGAGGAUGAUCAGCCGGAUUGGGACUGAGAUACGGCCCAGACUCCUACGGGGGGCAGCAAUUAGGAAUCUUGCGCAAUGGGGGAAACCCUGACGCAGCGACGCCGCGUGUGUGAUGACGUUUUUCGGAAUGUAAAGCACUGUCCUAUGGGGAAGAAGAAUGUGACGGUACCCAUAGAGAAAGCCCCGGCUAACUACGUGCCAGCAGCCGCGGUAAUACGUAGGGGGCGAGCGUUGUCCGAAUUUACUGGGCGUAAAGCGCGUGUAGGCGGCUUUUUAAGUGAGAUGUGAAAUCCUGCAGCUCAACUG
rnacentral:rRNA from 1 species